AUUGAACGCUGGCGGCAUGCCUUACACAUGCAAGUCGAACGGCAGCACGGGAGCAAUCCUGGUGGCGAGUGGCGAACGGGUGAGUAAUAUAUCGGAACGUGCCCAGUCGUGGGGAUAACGUAGCGAAAGCUACGCUAAUACCGCAUACGAUCUAUGGAUGAAAGCGGGGGAUCGCAAGACCUCGCGCGAUUGGAGCGGCCGAUAUCAGAUUAGGUAGUUGGUGAGGUAAAGGCUCACCAAGCCGACGAUCUGUAGCUGGUCUGAGAGGACGACCAGCCACACUGGGACUGAGACACGGCCCAGACUCCUACGGGAGGCAGCAGUGGGGAAUUUUGGACAAUGGGCGCAAGCCUGAUCCAGCAAUGCCGCGUGUGUGAAGAAGGUCUUCGGAUUGUAAAGCACUUUAAGUUGGGAGGAAGGGUAGUAACCUAAUACGUUGCUACUUUGACGUUACCGACAGAAUAAGCACCGGCUAACUUCGUGCCAG
rnacentral:rRNA from 1 species